rnacentral:sRNA from 1 species
GCUGGGCACGGUGGCACAUACCUGUAAUCCCAGCAGCUCGGGAAGCUGAGGCAGGAGUAUUGCAAGUUCAAAGCCAGCCUCAGCAAUGGCAAGGCACUAGUCAACUCAGUGAGACCCUGUCUCUA